AUUGAACGCUGGCGGCAUGCUUUACACAUGCAAGUCGAACGGCAGCGCGGGCUUCGGCCUGGCGGCGAGUGGCGAACGGGUGAGUAAUGCAUCGGAACGUGCCCAGUAGUGGGGGAUAGCCCGGCGAAAGCCGGAUUAAUACCGCAUACGACCUGAGGGUGAAAGCGGGGGACCGAAAGGCCUCGCGCUAUUGGAGCGGCCGAUGUCGGAUUAGCUAGUUGGUGGGGUAAAGGCUUACCAAGGCGACGAUCCGUAGCUGGUCUGAGAGGACGACCAGCCACACUGGGACUGAGACACGGCCCAGACUCCCAGGGGGGGCAGAGGGGGGGAAUUUUGGAAAAGGGGGGCAACCCGGACCCAGCCAUGCCGGGGGGGGGAAGAAGGCCUUCGGGUUGUAAACCGCUUUUUUUGGGGAAAAAAUCCUCUGGGCUAAACCCCCGGGGGGAUGACGGAACCGGAAAAAAAAGCACGGGCAAACUACGG
rnacentral:rRNA from 1 species